ACUCUCACUCACAUUUCUUCGAAUCACGAUGACUCUGUCCGGCCAAACCUCCGACCGUAUCUCCAGAUCUAGAAGGGAAACUGGUUUCCGUGGGAGAAGACGACAUAUAAGAAGAAGAAUCUGAGAGGUGAAGCGGAGGAAGAUGGCAUAGAAGACGAAAAAGCUAAGCGGUGGAUUUAUCGACGAAAUUAGAAGUUGGGAUCUCAAAACCGGGAAAGAUCUGCUUCGAUUCAAGUCGUGUGCUUCUCCGGCGCACAGCCGAAAACUUGGGUCGACUAAAGAAUCAAUUUUUCUAUCAAGCAACAAUGGAUGAGGGAGGAUAAGAAGUAGAAGAAUGAUGAAGGAGAAGUGAGGGAAGGAGUAGCGCAUCAAUAGCUUUGUUGCCACGCGGGUAUAUCUCUUGUCAUUUCUUUCAAAUGUCUAGCUCCAUCUGUUUUGGUCUCCAUGGAGAUCAGGUGUCAGCUAUUUUGGUUGAGUCUUGUGGCUUAAAGAACUCAAGGCUCAACUCGGCUCUCCUCAGUGUCACCAAAGUCACCGAAGGUACUCAAACUAAGCUCUCUAAAAGCAUAUCACUUCUUUCACAGAGUCACCUCAGUUUUGGUGAUUUUAUAUGAUAAAAUCUGACUGGAUUUGGAGAAGCUUGAAGAAGCGGUUGGCUGGAAGAAGAUAGGUCGAAGAUGAUGUUUGGCUUACAGAGAAAGCCACAGCCAAGCACACUCUUAGACAGAGCUCAUGAUGUACAACUUUAUUUCAGAGCGUAAGAAAUGAGUUGCUCUUGGAACAUUAAUGGGAACUACCUAGGCUUCAAUGAUGGAAUACAAAGCAAUUGAGAAUGUGCUACAAACCAUUUAUUAUGUAGUUUUUCAUCUAUUCUUAUUUUUAGUUAUGAUUUUUAAUUUUAUUUUGUAAUACAAUUUUUUUGUAA